GGCGAACGCUGGCGGCGUGCUUAACACAUGCAAGUCGAACGGAAAGGCCCUGCUUUUGUGGGGUGCUCGAGUGGCGAAAGGGUGAGUAACACGUGAGUAACCUGCCCUUGACUUUGGGAUAACUUCAGGAAACUGGGGCUAAUACCGGAUAGGAGCUCCUGCUGCAUGGUGGGGGUUGGAAAGUUUCGGCGGUUGGGGAUGGACUCGCGGCUUAUCAGCUUGUUGGUGGGGUAGUGGCUUACCAAGGCUUUGACGGGUAGCCGGCCUGAGAGGGUGACCGGCCACAUUGGGACUGAGAUACGGCCCAGACUCCUACGGGAGGCAGCAGUGGGGAAUAUUGCACAAUGGGCGGAAGCCUGAUGCAGCAACGCCGCGUGCGGGAUGACGGCCUUCGGGUUGUAAACCGCUUUCGCCUGUGACGAAGCGUGAGUGACGGUAAUGGGUAAAGAAGCACCGGCUAACUACGUG
rnacentral:rRNA from 1 species